CUGCUGUGGACCUGAGAGUGAACCAGAAAUGUUAGGCCAGUCACAUUCUGCUCUCACGAAAAACAACAGAAAGUUGAAAACAAGAGUUAGCAAAAACAUUUCUGACAAACUCAGAAGAGAUUUGCACGGAAUUGAAAUGAUGAGAAUAUUCAUCAACAGGAAAGAACCUGAACAUCAAACAUGUUAUGUUGCAGUGCUCCUCAUCAGAGUAAUGUUGGUCAAAAUGAGGAGAAAUACAACUGAAGCUGUGCAGUGUGCCCUGCACUCCACUAGAGGUCAGAGUGCGGAGGCAGAUUUCUACGGCUCACGUCACUAGAAAGGAAAUGGUCCAUUAAUCUUGAACACCAACCCCCCCAAAGAAGCUGAUUCAAGAGGACGUUGAGGGCCCCUGAAGGAGAAUUUGUCUCGACGCUUCUCCCUAUUCGGAGUCAGACUAAUCCAAUAUGACUUCUAAUUAGAUCACCAAAGCGUCCGCCACCCUGUCUGCGCCUCACUAUUGCAUUACCAAUACCUGUCGUGACUGUUAGAAUGAACGAGCGCUUCUGUGAUGAGGCAGGAAGCAGGAGAGAAGACGGGGUUGUUUGAAGGAGCUGCAGAAGAAGGGCGGGGGGGAAGACGAAGAAGAAGGUUCCUGGAAUUUGAUGUUGUGAGGGUGAAGAUCAGAGGCACAUGAUGGCUCAGAGUUUUAAGUCCAGCUGAGGCUCUGAAGUGUGCAUCAGAGGCGCACUACAGGCAAUAUCUACUUUACAGAUGUAGAGGAACAGACGGAUAAAGUACCUGAAAACUGUAACUAUGUAUGUACU